rnacentral:tRNA from 1 species
GGGGGUAUAGCUCAGUGGUAGAGCAUUUGACUACAGAUCAAGAGGUACCCUGUUCAAAUCUGGGUGCCCCCU